AGAGUUUGAUCAUGGCUCAGGACGAACGCUGGCGGCGCGCCUAACACAUGCAAGUCGAACGAGCGAGAGAGAGCUUGCUUUCUCGAGCGAGUGGCGAACGGGUGAGUAACGCGUGAGGAACCUGCCUCAGAGAGGGGGACAACAGUUGGAAACGACUGCUAAUACCGCAUAAGCCCACGACCCGGCAUCGGGUAGAGGGAAAAGGAGCAAUCCGCUUUGAGAUGGCCUCGCGUCCGAUUAGCUAGUUGGUGAGGUAACGGCCCACCAAGGCGACGAUCGGUAGCCGGACUGAGAGGUUGAACGGCCACAUUGGGACUGAGACACGGCCCAGACUCCUACGGGAGGCAGCAGUGGGGAAUAUUGCACAAUGGGGGAAACCCUGAUGCAGCGACGCCGCGUGGAGGAAGAAGGUCUUCGGAUUGUAAACUCCUGUUGUUGAGGAAGAUAAUGACGGUACUCAACAAGGAAGUGACGGCUAACUACGUGCCAGCAGCCGCGGUAAAACGUAGGUCACAAGCGUUGUCCGGAAUUACUGGGUGUAAAGGGAGCGCAGGCGGGAAGACAAGUUGGAAGUGAAAUCCAUGGGCUCAACCCAUGAACUGCUUUCAAAACUGUUUUUCUUGAGUAGUGCAGAGGUAGGCGGAAUUCCCGGUGUAGCGGUGGAAUGCGUAGAUAUCGGGAGGAACACCAGUGGCGAAGGCGGCCUACUGGGCACCAACUGACGCUGAGGCUCGAAAGUGUGGGUAGCAAACAGGAUUAGAUACCCUGGUAUUCCACGCCGUAAACGAUGAUGGCUAACCGCCGGCGACACACUGUCGGUGGCCAAGCGAAAGCGAUAAGCCAUCCACCUGGGGAGUACGUCGGCAACGAUGAAACUCAAAGGAAUUGACGGGGGCCCGCACAAGCGGAGGAACAUGUGGUUUAAUUCGAUGAUACGCGAGGAACCUUACCCGGGCUCGAACGGCACCUGGAUCGCCCAGAGAUGGGCGAGUCUUCGGACAGGUGUCGAGGUGCUGCAUGGUUGUCGUCAGCUCGUGCCGUGAGGUGUCGGCUCAAGUGCCAUAACGAGCGCAACCCCUGCCGCCAGUUGCCAUCAGGUGAUGCUGGGCACUCUGGCGGGACUGCCACCGCAAGGUGUGAGGAGGGGGGGGAUGACGUCAAAUCAGCACGGCCCUUACGUCCGGGGCGACACACGUGUUACAAUGGCGGCCACAGAGGGAAGCUACCCCGCGAGGGGAUGCGGAUCUCGAAAAGCCGUCCCAGUUCGGACUGGAGUCUGCAACCCGACUCCACGAAGUUGGAUUCGCUAGUAAUCGCGCAUCAGCCAUGGCGCGGUGAAUACGUUCCCGGGCCUUGUACACACCGCCCGUCAAGCCAUGGAAGCCGCGGGCGCCUGAAGUCCGUGACCGUAAGGAGCGGCCUAGGGCGAAAGUGGUAACUGGGGCUAAGUCGUAACAAGGUA
rnacentral:rRNA from 1 species